rnacentral:lncRNA from 1 species
GUAGGUGGCUACACAGCACAAUAUUUUUUCAAUCAGUGUGUGACUCAAAGAUGGAGUAAAUCUCACUCCAUUGGAAGAUUGGUCUCAUUUUCUUCUAUUUUAGGAAAUGAUUCCUGCUGCUCUUGGUUCCAGUGGCUUAGCAUAUGGGGUUGAUAUUAGCUGACUCAAGAUGUCAUGUCCAAGUAUGAGACAUCCCAUCCAUUUAGCCUGUUGGCAAAUUGGGAGCUUCAGAGUCAGAAGGCCUGGUGAGUAAUGAAUGGACCAUCUGCUAACAUCUAGGGGAAAGUUACCUUCUGUCUGUGAGCCUUCAGAGAGUUGGCAUUAAGCCAAACCCCUCAGACAAGUCAUAGUGAGGCAACUGUGAGGUGGGAUGUGAAUGUAUAUAGUGGUUUCUUAGCUCUAUGAGUUCUUAGCACAUACAGUCUAUUUAAGACAGAAGUUCCACCUGAUGUUACAGAUUUCCAGCUUUUUAUAAUGCACCUUAAAAAGGCCAAUGACCCUUUGCAAAAGUAAAUAAUUUUUUAAAACCCACUUUUAAUUAAC